rnacentral:rRNA from 1 species
UUUUUUUAUAAAGUAUAACCUGCCCACUGAAUUAUUUAAAUGGCCGCAGUAUUUUGACUGUGCAAAGGUAGCAUAAUAAUUAGUUUUUUAAUUAAAAGCUUGUAUGAAUGGUUGGACGAGGUAAAUACUGUCUUUGGGUAAUUUAAAUAGAAUUUAAUUUUUAAGUUAAAAAGCUUAAAUAAUUUAAAAAGACGAGAAGACCCUAUAGAUCUUUAUUAUUUUUAUUUUAAAAUUAUUUAGAUUUUUAAAAUUUUUAUGGUAUAAAUAAUUUUAUUGGGGUAAUAUAAAGAUUAAAAUAAUUCUUUAUUUUUUAAAACAUAAAUAUAUGGUUUAUUUGAUCCAGUUUUAUUGAUUAUAAGAUUAAGUUACCUUAGGGAUAACAGCGUAAUUUUUUUAAAGAGUUCAUAUCGAUAAAAAAGAUUGCGACCUCGAUGUUGGAUUAAAAGUAAUUUUAGGUGCAGAAGCUUAAAGUUUUGGUCUGUUCGACCA